GUUUCCAUAUUGUAGUGGUUAUCACGUUUGCCUCACACGCGAAAGGUUCCUGGUUUGAAACCGGGUGGAAACA
rnacentral:tRNA from 1 species